rnacentral:rRNA from 1 species
UGAGGAAUAUUGGGCAAUGGGCGCAAGCCUGACCCAGCCAUGCCGCGUGCAGGAUGCAGGUCCUACGGAUCGUAAACUGCUUUUAUACGGAAAGAAUUCUCCUGAUUUUUCGGGAGUUGACGGUACCGUAUGAAUAAGGACCGGCUAACUCCGUGCCAGCAGCCGCGGUAAUACGGAGGGUCCGAGCGUUAUCCGGAUUUACUGGGUUUAAAGGGUGCGUAGGCGGAAUAGUCAGUCAAUGGUGAAAACCUACAGCUUAACUGUAGAAUGGCCAUUGAUACUGCUAUUCUUGAGUGUAGUCGAGGGAAGCGGAAUGCGUAAUGUAGCGGUGAAAUGCAUAGAUAUUACGCAGAACACCGAUUGUGAAAGCAGCUUCCUAGCCUAUCACUGACGCUGAGGCACGAAAGCGUGGGGAGCGAACA